CAAUGCAACACAACACAACACAGCACAGAGGGUGAGUCUUGUACAUGAGUCUUGUACAUGAGUCUUUUGCUAUGGUAAGCCUCCUCAUUCUGUGCCCUGCUUUUUGCCAAUUGCCGAUGGAGUGUUGGCUAUGGUGGUGAUGGUUGUGGUGGAGUGCUACACCCUCAGUUGCCACUCACUCACUUGCUACUUGUUUGUUUGUUUGUUUGUUUGUUUCUUCAUUUGAAUUCAUUCUUCUCCUUCUUCUGCUUCUGGUAUCAAUCUCUUGUUGCGGAGUGCAUUUCAUUCAGAGUGUGGGGGAGAGUGAUGGAGGAAUGGCUUUGUGCUUUUGGGUGUUGUUUCUAUUGUUGUCUAUAUUGUUGGCUAUAUUGUUGGCUACAUUGGUGGCACAGCAUUGAAGGGGGAAGGGAAUAGAGGAGAUGCUAUGGGACCUCUCUCUAUCUCUCUCUCUCUCUCUCUCUCUCUCUCUCUCUCCCUCCACAAAUAUCCUGCUCUUCCCGCUCCUCCUGCUUCUUUCUGCGGUUGCUAUUGCUGCUUCGCUGUCCCGCAACAUUCUUUGCAGAAGGGAAUAUUUUUUUGUAAAGACUCGCGUUUUUGUUAUGGGCAUCGUAGUUACUCUAUUCUUUGAAUUGAUGGUUGGUUGGGUGAUUUGGGUGUGGUUGAAGAAAGAUUGUGAAACCUGGGAAUGCCCAAAAUCAAGCACUCGCAUGCUAUGCAUGUGGGGAUUUAUACAAUGUGGUCAACAUAUUCAACGACAGUCGCUCCAUUCAUUGAAAAGAAUGGUGUAGCGGAUUCGUUCGGGGAUCACGUGAACCUUCCAACCCUUUGUACGUUCAUGAUGACUACAAGGAAAAAAACACAGGCUCUAACGUUCGAGCUCCCCUUCAGUUCCAUGUUGACAGUCAACCAGGGCAUUCUUCUCUCGUUGCCUGUGCAGCUCCGAUGGUACCCGAAGCAGAACGGCACACUAGUGCAAGAGGGGUUUCAUGAUUCUGACAGCAACAGAAGAAAAAAAGAAAAAAAGAAAUAAUACAGACCCAACUAAUCCUAAUCGUAGCUUGCAUCCAUGUCAUCAUAAUUUGUCUACAGUACCUGAAGAUUGCAAUGCCAACCUUCAGAAUUGAUCCACAGACUACUGUACCCACCAACUUUAUCAACAACUGGAUGCUGACACUUUAACAAAGCCUUGAGGCAGGAAUUUACACGAUUCUAAUGCAAGGUUACCUGCAUGAGAAGCUUGAAAUUGGGGGAUUACCAAAGCAGGAAGUGACAAGAAGCAGAUUGGAGGAGGCCAUCCGGG